GCCGAUAUAGCUCAGUUGGUAGAGCGGCUGAUUCGUAAUCAUCAGGUCAAGGGUUCGAGUCCCUUUAUCGGCUCCA
rnacentral:tRNA from 1 species